rnacentral:lncRNA from 1 species
AACUGAACGUACCAUUAUAACACCACGUCUCCUCUUCUUCACGCCGAAGGGUGAAGAACAGUCGCCAAGGCAAAGAACAAUCAUCAAGGCAGCUAUUGCAGUCCUCUGUGAACACAGGAGAGUCACAAGGCUUUGGUGGCUGGUAUUCCAUUAGCCAUUUCUCCAGCAGAGCUUGUAAUGGACAGAAUUUGUUGUUUGCAGCUAUCUACCGUAUUUAAAACUUGAAAGAAAAUGAUCUCUAUUUUUUUUCUGUUACCACUCCAGCAGUAAAUAACAACCACGUAAGUCGCAUUCUUGUAAUAUCUUUACUCAUGCAAAUUGCUUGACUUUCAU